rnacentral:rRNA from 1 species
GUCAGAGUUUGAUCCUGGCUCAGGACGAACGCUGGCGGCGUGCUUAACACAUGCAAGUCGAGCGAUGAAACCCUUCGGGGUGGAUUAGCGGCGGACGGGUGAGUAACACGUGGGUAACCUGCCUCAAAGAGGGGGAUAGCCUCCCGAAAGGGAGAUUGAUACCGCAUAACAUUAGUUUUCGCAUGGAGAACUAAUUAAAGGAGUAAUCCGCUUUGAGAUGGACCCGCGGCGCAUUAGCUAGUUGGUGAGGUAACGGCUCACCAAGGCGACGAUGCGUAGCCGACCUGAGAGGGUGAUCGGCCACAUUGGAACUGAGACACGGGUCCAGACUCCUACGGGAGGCAGCAGUGGGGAAUAUUGCACAAUGGGGGAAACCCUGAUGCAGCCAUGCCCGCGUGUGUGAAG